UACAGAGGGUGCAAACGUUGCUCGGAAUCACUGGGCGUAAAGCGCGUGUAGGCGGAUGUUCAAGUCAGAUGUGAAAGCCCUGGGCUCAACCCAGGAACUGCAUAUGAAACUGGACGUCUCGAGUGUUGGAGAGGGAAGCGGAAUUCCUGGUGUAGAGGUGAAAUUCGUAGAUAUCAGGAGGAACACCGGCGGCGAAGGCGGCUUCCUGGACAACUACCGACGCUGAGACGCGAAAGCGUGGGGAGCAAACAGG
rnacentral:misc_RNA from 1 species